CAGUUCUCUCGGCCUUUUUUCUCAGCUUCCAUUACUCCGCACCUUCCUCACUUUCCACUCUCACUUUAUCGUCCCUUCCUUCAUCGCCGUGCUCUUCUCCUACGACGAUGAUCCCAUUGCUUGCCAAGUCACCGGUCUUGUUCACAAGCUCUGUGAUGUGACUGAAACUGACGGUGAUGGAUCCAUUUGCGAUCAUUUCAUUGCCGGAGUUUUGGAUCGGCUUCCUUAUGCCAUGUUGGCGUGGAGUCCUCGCCAAGUGUAUAUGGAACAAAAUGUACGAUAAAGAAUGAUGGGGGUACUCAAACAGACAAAGAAAUCGAAAAUGUGUUUGUGGUUGACGAUCAAGGAGAACUUUAAUACGCACCUUGGCGUUGAGUCUACUAUCUUCUGCAACUGCAAAAUCACACUCUCCCUUCUUCCUCCCGACGAAAUGAGUUCCCAAGGAAAUGACCCAAAUUCUUCUUUGCCUAAACCCAGCCAACUCGAAUGCAACCUGCGUCAAGCUCUCGCCGGCUUCCAAAACCAGUGCUCUGGGGUACUCCACAACCUUUCCAACCUUCCGCCCUUCAAUCCCCCUCUUUCCCUCAAAUCCCAGCUUCAAUCUACCUUCUCGAGCCUCCAAAACCAAGCGAAACGUGCACUUGACUCCAGAAUUUCAGCCUUUGAUCCCGUUGCUAAAAAUCCGGUUUGGGCUCGGAUUGCUGAAACUGCGAAGACCCCUCGCCCAUAUGCCCGGCCUACUGUCGCCUUGUCGACGGAAGCCAUCGAAGAGCGGCUGGCUGGUAUUCCUGUUUAUGCCCUCAGCAAUGCGUCUGAGGAAUUCGUCUUGGUUUCUGGUGCUUCGACUGCAAAGUCUCUGGGAUUUUUUUGCUUUAAUAAGGAGGAUGCAGAAACGCUGCUUGGGCAUAUUGGAACAGUAGAUCCUUCAGCGCAGAACGGGUCCAAAGUGGUGACCGUUGCCUUGAAUAAAGUUUUUCAGCUUCAUGUUAAUGGGGUGGCCUUCAGAUUGAUUCCUGAGUGCUCUCAGGUGAAAAACGCUCUGAGUGAAAGAGAAAAGGCUGGCAUUUCUGAUAAUGGAUUUCCUGGAGUCCCUGUUUUCCAGUCGAAGAGCUUGAUACUGAGGAGCAAAAACAAGAGUUACCGUCCUGCCUUUUUCAGAAAGGAGGAUUUGGAGAAUUCUCUAAAAAGAGCAUCUCAGGACCAAAAUCAAAUGAAUCCUGCCCUCCGACCUGGGGAUGUACAGGUUGCUGCUUUUGAAGACAUUAUAAAAGGAAUGAAGGAUAAUUCUAUUUCAACAUGGGAUGAUGUAGUCUUCAUUCCUCCCGGAUUUGAUGUUUCCACUGACCCCAAAAAACAGCAUUAGGCAUCAGCAUAGGAACUGAGAUAGUUGCUGCCAAAUUUGUCUCAUCAUACAAAAACCUUAUAUGGAGACAGUAGGGUACUUAGUUGAGGUUCAAAUGAUUGGAAGGGAGGGGAUCUUUUGUUACAUUUGUGUUAAGAGAAGGAAUCCCACCAAACUCCACGCCUGGUUUGUUGCUUGUCUCUGGGGUUUGGUAGUGUGUGUGUGUCUACAUGCUCUUUUGAGCUGUAUUCAAUAAUUUAUAUCAUAACAAUAUCAUAGCCUUCUGCAUCCUUUUCUCUGGUAGCUUUUAUGGAAUGUGUACAUUAGUUUAAUAUAUUUGCUGCUCCGAUUUGGAUUUUGGAUCA